rnacentral:rRNA from 1 species
UGAGGAAUAUUGGUCAAUGGGCGAGAGCCUGAACCAGCCAAGUAGCGUGCAGGACGACGGCCCUAUGGGUUGUAAACUGCUUUUGCGCGGGGAUAAAGUGCGCCACGUGUGGCUCAUUGCAGGUACCGCGCGAAUAAGGACCGGCUAAUUCCGUGCCAGCAGCCGCGGUAAUACGGAAGGUCCGGGCGUUAUCCGGAUUUAUUGGGUUUAAAGGGAGCGCAGGCCGGGUAUUAAGCGUGUUGUGAAAUGUAGGCGCCCAACGUCUGCACCGCAGCGCGAACUGGUGCCCUUGAGUACGCACGACGUUGGCGGAAUUCGCCGUGUAGCGGUGAAAUGCUUAGAUAUGGCGAAGAACUCCGAUUGCGAAGGCAGCUGACGGGAGCGCUACUGACGCUCAUGCUCGAAAGCGCGGGUAUCGAACAGGAUUAGAUACCCUGGUAGU